AUAUAGAUGACCUGGAGAUCUUGGUAAAAUGUAGAUUCUGAUUUAGUAGUUCUGAGUAGGCUUAAGAUUUUGCAUUUCUAACAAGCUCUCAGGUUUUGUCAUG
rnacentral:pre_miRNA from 1 species